AUCAGAAGCAUAAAGCCAGGGAAAGUGACCUAUUUUGAAGUCUGCAGAAGGAAGAUAUGCAUGACUGAAGCUGCGUAAAGCUUCCAGUAAUCUCUGAUAGCAUGAAGGAUAGCAGCAUCAAUAAACCAAGUGAAGCAGAAGAACUGAACUGCUUCUUCAAUGAAGAGCAUCUCAUCUCUGCAUCACAAAGUGCCUUGAGGCAAAGUGCAACCUUACACAGUUCUAUUAUGAACUAUUUAUCUACAUAAUACCAUUCAUGUUGUGCACUCUAUUUCAUCAUAGAAAGGAUAAAUGUUCAGAAAGCUCUCAUCCUAGUGCAUAAAUGAAACAGAAGAAUGAAAAAUAAUUGUAACUAUCCUGCAUGGAAGCUACUAGAUGGAAAACUGCACAGAGGUUUGGGCCAUUAAAAUGAUCUGCCACCGCUUAUGACAAACAAGAGAGUAGAUAUUAAGAACCAUG